GACGAACGCUGGCGGCGUGCCUAACACAUGCAAGUCGAACGGAACCGUUUUGAAAGAUUUCUUCGGAAUGAAUUUGAUUUCGUUUAGUGGCGGACGGGUGAGUAACGCGUGAGUAACCUGCCUUCAAGAGGGGAAUAACAUUCUGAAAAGAAUGCUAAUCCCGCAUGACAUAUCGGAACCACAUGGUUUUGAUAUCAAAGAUUUUAUCGCUUGAAGAUGGACUGGCGUCCGCUUAGUUAGUUGGUGAGGUAACGGCUCACCAAGACCGCGAUCGGUAACCGGAGUGCGGAGUUGGACGGCAGAAUUGUGACUGAGGCACCGGCCGGGAACCUUCGGGAAGGAGCGGAAGGGGGAAUUACGCAAUCGGCGCGAGCCAAAAGGGGCAACGGCUCGUGAAGGAUUAAGGUUUGCGGAGAAUAAACUUAUGUUAAUAAGGACGAAAAAUGACGGUACCUAAUGAAUAAGCUCCGGCUAACUUCGUG
rnacentral:rRNA from 1 species